GAUGAACGCUGGCGGCGUGCCUAAUACAUGCAAGUCGAGCGAACAGAUAAGGAGCUUGCUCCUUUGACGUUAGCGGCGGACGGGUGAGUAACACGUGGGUAACCUACCUAUAAGACUGGAAUAACUCCGGGAAACCGGGGCUAAUGCCGGAUAGCAUUUAGAACCGCAUGGUUCUAAAGUGAAAGAUGGUUUUGCUAUCACUUAUAGAUGGACCCGGGCCGUAUUAGCUAGUUGGUAAGGUAACGGCUUACCAAGGCAACGAUACGUAGCCGACCUGAGAGGGUGAUAGGCCACACUGGAGCUGAGACACGGUCAAGACUCCUGCGGGAGGCAGCAGUAGGGAAUCUUCCGCAAUGGGGGAAAGCCUGGCGGAGCAACGCCGCGUGAGAGAUGAAGGUCUUCGGAUCGUAAAACUCUGUUAUUAGGGAAGAACAAAUGUGUAAGUAACUGUGCACGUCUUGACGGUACCUAAUCAGAAAGCCACGGCUAACUACGUG
rnacentral:rRNA from 1 species